UACGUAGGGUGCAAGCGUUAAUCGGAAUUACUGGGCGUAAAGCGUGCGCAGGCGGUUAUAUAAGACAGUUGUGAAAUCCCCGGGCUCAACCUGGGAACUGCAUCUGUGACUGCAUCGCUGGAGUGCGGCAGAGGGGGAUGGAAUUCCGCGUGUAGCAGUGAAAUGCGUAGAUAUGCGGAGGAACACCGAUGGCGAAGGCAAUCCCCUGGGCCUGCACUGACGCUCAUGCACGAAAGCGUGGGGAGCAAACAGG
rnacentral:rRNA from 1 species